rnacentral:rRNA from 1 species
GUGAGGAAUAUUGGACAAUGGAUGGAAAUCUGAUCCAGCCAUGCCGCGUGCAGGAAGACGGCCCUAUGGGUUGUAAACUGCUUUUGUAUGGGAGCAAUAAGGGUUACGAGUAGCCUGAUGAGAGUACCAUACGAAUAAGGACCGGCUAACUCCGUGCCAGCAGCCGCGGUAAUACGGAGGGUCCGAGCGUUAUCCGGAUUUAUUGGGUUUAAAGGGUGCGUAGGCGGUUUUAUAAGUCAGCGGUGAAAUUUUCCGGCUCAACCGGGGGACUGCCGUUGAUACUGUAAGGCUAGGAUAUGGUUGCUGUGGGUGGAAUGUGUGGUGUAGCGGUGAAAUGCUUAGAGAUCACACAGAAUAUCGAUUGCGAAGGCAGCUCACAAAGCCAUCAUUGACGCUGAGGCACGAAAGUGUGGGGAUCAAACAGGAUUAGAAACCCCUGUAGUCC